rnacentral:lncRNA from 1 species
GGGCGAAUUGCAAUUUUAUGUGUUUUUAUUCUUCGUAGAAUAAGUAACAGAAGUUGAACUAUCUUUGUUAUUUUGCAAGACUUGUGAUCAGCCAUCUUUCAAUACAUAAACAAUGUAUAAUUUCGGCAGCAUUACAUACAACUUGUGAAGUUUCAAAAUGACUAGUCUAUUGUACAUAAUGUGUAAGAUUCUGUUUGCAAAGGCAUGCUAAAGCCAUAUCGUGUAUUAUUAUAAAUGGAGUGUAUAAUUUGUUAUCGUAAUGGAAAAAAUAUCGAUACUUGUUUUCGUCUUUUAAAUGCUCGUUUAUUUUUGUAUCGGAUGGGUCGAAAGAUAUGGAAUUGACACAAAGCAGUUUUCCAUCCCAUAAUUGGUGUUGAUGUCGUCAACAUUGAGGGAUAUUAUAAUGUAAAACAUCAAACCUACUUGGAGUUUCGUCAACAUUUUUGCGAAAGUUUAUAUGUGGUCAAG